GGGGUUAUAGCUCAAUGGUAGAGCACUUGCCUUGCAUGCAUGAGGCCCUGGGUUCGUGAGGCCCUGGGUUCAAUUCUG
rnacentral:tRNA from 1 species